ensembl:misc_RNA 7SK 7SK RNA
GGAUGUGAGGGCAAUCUGGCCAUGACAUCUGUCACCCAUUGAUCCCCAGGGUUGAUCUGGCUGAUCUGGCUGGCUAGGCGGGUGUUCCCGUCCUCCCUGACCGCUCCAUGUGCAUCACUUCCAAAGCUGUGUGCUCGGUUGAAGAGGACAAUCAUUCCCAAUAGAGGAGGACCAUUCUUCGGUCAAGGGUAUACGAGUAGCUGCGCUCCCCUGCUAGAACCUCCAAACAAGCUGUCAAGGUCCAUUGUAGGAGAACGUAGGCUGGCUAAGACUGGAGAGGGACUGCAGAGUCAAGGGCCCCAUGGGCCAUACCU